AAGUCGUAACAAGGUUUCCGUAGGUGAACCUGCGGAAGGAUCAUUAACACGUAUCCAAACGUUAAAACUCCCCCCGUGAACCUUCAUCCUGCUCUUGUAACCCGCGUAGUUCGCAAUCUCUGAUAAAUCAUAGCCCGGAAAGUUUUAGUGAUUCAGAGACCUCUGGCUACGUGCGAACAUUGGAACAGUUACAAUCGAGCGGUAGUUCUAUAGGCAAUGUUUCCCCAAGCAGUCAGUGUCGGAAAGUGUCAUUGAUUGUGCAAGGAUAGCGCUUCUACGAUUCCUGUAGACCGUACACUCGGGCAGGAGCUCAAUGUAAUACAUUGGGUAAAAAAACCGAACAACUGUUAACAAUGGAUAUCUUGGUUCUC
rnacentral:misc_RNA from 1 species